rnacentral:sRNA from 1 species
GUCGUGAGAUGUUGGGUUAAGUCCCGCAACGAGCGCAACCCUCGUCCUUAGUUGCCAUCAUUUAGUUGGGCACUCUAAGGAAACUGCCGGUGAUAAGCCGGAGGAAGGUGGGGAUGACGUCAAGUCCUCAUGGCCCUUACACGCUGGGCUACACACGUGCUACAAUGGCGGUGACAGUGGGCAGCAAUCCCGCGAGGGUGAGCUAAUCUCCAAAAGCCGUCUCAGUUCGGAUUGUUCUCUGCAACUCGAGAGCAUGAAGGCGGAAUCGCUAGUAAUCGCGGAUCAGCACGCCGCGGUGAAUACGUUCCCAGGCCUUGUACACACCGCCCGUCACACCAUGGGAGUUGGUUUCACCCGAAGGCAGUGCGCUAACCGCAAGGAGGCAGCUGACCACGGUGGGAUCAGCGACUGGGGUGAAGUCGUAACAAGGUAGCCGUAGGGGAACCUGCGGCUGGAUCACCUCCUUUCUAAGGAUCUGGCCGAAAGCGCCGGCUUCGAGCUUGCUCGACGCAUGCCGGAAGAGCUUCGUCCAUUCCAAAGAACAUUGCCGUCGUCCUCAUGUCCCUUCAUCCUGGAGAUCAACGCAGCGUGAGCUUUCGCUCUGCUGCGCUGUCUGCCUGAGCUGGCUCACUGCCGCCCGCGGCAAGUCCCUUGCGAAAGCAAGGCGGCGGCCAGCGCGGCGCGAGAGUGGGCUUGUAGCUCAGCUGGUUAGAGCACACCCCUGAUAAGGGUGAGGUCGGUGGUUCGAGUCCACCUAAGCCCACCACUCUUGCAAGACCCCGGCUCAUGCCAAUGGGGGCCUUAGCUCAGUUGGGAGAGCGCUAGCUUUGCAAGCUUGAGGUCAUCGGUUCGAUCCCGAUAGGCUCCACCAGCCUCGCCGCCCGCCUCGUUGCGCGGUGGCUAGAGGCGGCAACAUCUCCAGAGAUGAAGAACGAAAUUCCGGCGCGGAGCAAUCCGCGGCGGCUAGCGGGAUCUGCCCGCGUCUUUGACAUUGUGAAUGGGUUUUUAAUCGAUGCCGUGGCGCAUGGCAUCCGAUCUCCUCAAGUGAUCGGAUGAACCACCAUGCGGCACAUACAGAUGCAAAUCUGGCUGAGAUUAAUCGUCCGCACCGAUGCUGCAGGUUAGUAGCAUGGGCGUGGUUGGCUGCCGUAUGCAAGCGGUAAGCGACUAACGUUCCAGGCCUGUCGUUGAUGGUGUGGAUUCUCAAGCGUGAGGUAAGAGCAUUUGGUGAAUGCCUUGGCAUGUACAGGCGAUGAAGGACGUGGCACGCUGCGAUAAGCGUCGGGGAGUUGUGAGCAAACUUUGAUCCGGCGAUUU